rnacentral:rRNA from 1 species
UACGUAGGGGCCUAGCGUUGUCCGGAUUUAUUGGGCGUAAAGAGCGUGUAGGCGGCCUGGUAGGUCUGCUGUGAAAACUCGAGGCUCAACCUCGAGAUGUCGGCGGAAACCAUCUGGCUAGAGUCCGGAAGAGGAGAGUGGAAUUCCUGGUGUAGCGGUGAAAUGCGCAGAUAUCAGGAAGAACACCUAUGGCGAAGGCAGCUCUCUGGGACGGUACUGACGCUGAGACGCGAAAGCGUGGGGAGCGAACAGG